rnacentral:lncRNA from 1 species
CUGGAGAGAUUCCUAAGUCGGAUGUGGCUUCCGCAAUUGAUUCUCCACUAAGAAAUGAGAAUAGAAGGAGGUAGAGAGAGGCCCAUGCUGCAAUUAAAGCAUGGAAAGUUGAAAAUCCCCUGUACAAGAUAAGGCUAUCUAGAUCAAUGUUGCAAAGAAAUUUAGGAAAGAAAGUUAUAUUUUGAACAAUUUUUUAUACAAGAAAAAGGAAAAGAAGAAAAGAACAUAGGAUAAAAUUGCAGCGAUUGUUCCAUCCACUUUUUCUUUAUCACUUAGUUUUCCAUAUCCUUUGAAACAAAAAGGGCUGAUAAAACCUGUUAUAUCGUAGACCUGCAAGAAUAAUAUUGAACAUAUUUAGAACUUAAAUAGAGGGAGAAAGACUAUCUCAAAACAAUAUUAAAAGGCUGUUACUUAGAAUCGAGGGUUAGUGUCAGAUACAAUAUAAGGAUGCGUCCAACAUGGGUAUACUAAACAUUUAAAAGUAUUUCCAUAUAUUUAGAUCAUCAUCUUUUAGAAAAAAAACAAAAUGAAGAGUCUAGGUAACAUAGUUUAAAAAGACAUAAAACUCAAUACGUUGCAUUAAUCUCGAAAACAUUUUACCUAUCAAAAAUACCAACAAAUAGACCCAAAAAGAGAAGUGAAAUUACCUUUACUAUAUAAAAAAGAAAUUCUUAUGCAGCUACUCAAUUUACUUCUAAAGCUAAAGGCAACUUAUGAUAUUUAAUGAUAGAAUUGCAUUAUGUUUCCAAUGCAUGAUUCUUUUGUUUGGAAAGUUCAAAUACUCCCAAUGUAAGAAUAUCUGAAUAUGAGUAUCAGAAAUUAGAUAAAUAUAUUCUGUAUUCUAAAAGUGAAAUGUGAAUUCCGUCGUACUGAUGACAAAUUUCUAGGCGGUCCUAAAUUGAUUAACCUAAGAUAAAGUGGUUUAAAUCUAAUCUUCAGUCGGUUUCGAUAAUUUCCCCAAAAUAGUCCACAAACUUUGGCAACUUAGAACAAACCUAAUAAACUACUCCAACUUGGACAUGGACAGCAAAUGUAGAUAUGGAUAACUUUGACCCAAAAUUCAAAGAUACAGGUCCAAAAGUGGAACCAUACCAGGGUCUUUUAGUCGUCAGUGUGGAGCUGUCUUAUCCUAAGUUUCCCAAACCCUUUUAUGCUUCAUUUGAGGUUAGAAUCUCGGGAAGGCAGCUCUUUUUUGAGCGUCAGCACAAUUUAGUUGCAUCAUUGUUGGUGCCAAACCAUUUUUUUCGAAACCAACCUAUUCUUACUCUCUGUUUUAAGGUACAAGCCAUUCUCUUUUUCCUAAUUGCCAAUUUCAAAGCCUAUUCCUAAAUUCUGGAUAAAAAUAAAUGGUAGAAACUGGCCGAAUAUGAUUGUAAGCAAUUUUAUACAACCAUAACUGUCGAAACCGUUUUUUGAAAAACAAAAAUUUAGUUGUCGACUUUAAAAAUAAAACUGGAGUCGCCACCGAUCCUUUAUUAAGGUGUGAUCGGCUCACCUUAAAAAUUGUUUUGGUCCAUGAAUUUUGAGAAAACGAGUUCGGGGGUCAGUUACACACGAGGAAGGGUUAGCACCCUCGUAACGCCCAAAAUUGGUACCAAAUUGAUUAUUGGAUGUCUUAGUGUCGAAAGUUAAAAGGAUUUUAAAAUAAACUCAAAUGAUGAAAUUUGAAAAAAACAAUAAUCAAUUGUUCAAGUCAUGUAAAGAAAUCGAGUCCCAAUACGUUAGAGUACAAUUCCUCAUAAUCCCCGAACUUUGAAUAUCACUUUUAUUUUAUGCGAAAAUCUUCAUUUCGAGAAGGUAACAUACCACACCCAAUACGUUAGGGCACGACAAAUUAAGUUCCCAAAAAUGAUUUUUGAUGCUCGUAUUUAAAAUAAAGAAUAUCCUUGGUAAUUUGAAGUUAGCAAAGAAAAUCGGAACCCAAUACGUUAGGGCUCAAUUUUCCUCGAAAAUCCCAAAACCUUGAAUAUUGUUUUUUUAUUCACAAAAAAAAAAACCCUUCAAAUCAAGAAAAUAAAUUUGGCGUACGGUUAAAACCAAAAUAUAUAUUCGAAAAGGGUAUAUCAAAAGUUACUGUAUAAUAUGAAGCAAAAACUCUAAUUUAAAGCAUAUAUGAACAUAUAUUUACCAAAUAUAUAUACAAAUAUAAUAUAACAAUAAAGUCUCAAACUUCUAACACAUGCAAAUAAAAUAAAUGAAAUAUAUCCAAUAAAACAAACAAAAAACAUGUAUAAAAAAAUAAAUGUAUAUAAUAAAAAUGCAUAUGUAUAUAUUUACAGAAUAGAAAAAUAAAAUGUAUAAGUAUAUAUACAUUGGUAAAUCGUGAAAAUUCGCAUACGUAUAUAUUCAAAUACAUAUAUAUAUGUACAAUAUGUAUAUAAAAAAUGAUAAAAAUAUUUACAAUGAUUUUAAAGAAAAAUAUGUACAUAAAUAUAUUAUAAAAAUGUAUGUGUAUUUUAAAUGUGGGAGUGGUGAAGAUAAAAUAAUAAUAAAUAAAAUAUGUACAUGUGAAUCAAUAAAAUAAAAAUAUAAAAAUAUGUAUAUAUAUAUAUAUUUACAAAAUAAAAAAUGUGUAAGUAUGUAUAAAAUAUAAGCAUGUGAAAGAAAAAUAAAAACUAUAUAAGAAGAAAUUUUAAAAAUGUGUGAAUGAAAUAUAUGCAUGCAUGUAUAAAAGCUUAAAAUAUAUAUAUUAAAUAUGUAUGUAUGUUAUACAUAAAAUAUGCGUAUGUAUGAAUGAAAUAAUAAUAAUAAUGUUAAUAAUGAUAACAAUAAAUAAAAAUAAAAUAAAAUAAUGUAGCAUAAUUAUGAUAAAAAGGAAAAAGAUUAAAUUGAGUUAAAAACAAAGGAAUGGGGCAAAUUUAGAAUAACAUUUAAAAAAAAGAUCAAUUUGAACGCGAGAGAAACAAUGGGGGACUAAAAAGGAAAUUAUUCCUUCCUCCCAAAACGCUGCGCAGCUGAGGCCGAAUUGAAACGUGGAUCAAAUACGCGGCCUAAUUUUUAAAAUAAGUAGAAAGGACUUAAUUGGAACGCAUUGCAGAAAAGAGGGGCCAAUUGCGAAAUUAAACCUUUAAAGCCGAACGCGCGGAUCCUCCCCUUCGGGUCGGGUCACCGCGCGGGUCAAGGCUUGGAUAAAACGGCGCCGUUUUGAAGUUUCAAUAAAACCUAAUUUUUCCUUUUAAAAAUUUCAUAAACCAUUUUAAAACAAAAAAAAUGCUGCACCCCUCCCCCCUUUUUUGUUCUCUGCUAGGGUUCUAUACCCAAGCCGCCGCGCCGCCCGUUCCACCAUGCGCCACAGCUCCGAUCGCGACGGAGGUGGCGCCGAUCGACGACUCCGGCGAAAGAGGUAAGCUUCCUUUCCUUUUCUUUUUAUAUUUUAAACGAAAUAAAAAAGGGAAAAAGAAAAAAGACGCAAAUGACGAACACCAAUUAAAUAAGACGGAAAAAACCUUUGUUAAAAAAAAAAUCGAAUCUGUACUUUUAAUCUUUUCUCUGAUUUCUGUUUGUGUUUUUUUUACACUCCAAAUCCCCCCUUUACAGAUUUGAAAUCGGCCUUUUAUAGCCGGAAUGGAGAAGAAAAGAAAAGAAGAAAAAAUCCAAAGAAAUCUAUUCUGUUAUUUGUUGGCCUAUUGCUGCCCAAUUUUUGCUAUUCUGUUCUGCUUUCUCUUCUUUGUCGUAUUGUUUGUUGUCGCAGGUAUAACGUGGCAUGAAGCGGCGCAUGUUGGGGAGGGUCGUGGUGCGAGAUUCGCGGCGGCGAGCGAGGACGAGCGGUGCUAGCUUGCUGCGGCGCUAAGCAGAAGCUAGGGUUUCUGCUAGUCUAUUUUUUUGUGGGCUAGGUUUAGGAUUAUUGGGUUGAAAAGGUCUGGGCCAAUUGGGCCUUAUUACAAUAACUAUUACCAUUCCCAGAAAAAAAAAGCUACCUAUGGAGCUAAUCUAUCAACAAGAUUUAGGAAAAAAAUUUAAGUAACACGAACUAGAUAAGGCUGAGGAUGGUUUCCCGAGUGCCAAGAUUAGAGUGUACUGAAUUUAUAAAAGAUGGAAAUGAAAAAGAAGAUUAAUAAAAGCCAUUUUUGACCGAAAUCUACGAAGAAGAAAGAGCUGAAAAAAAUUCCAAUCCACCAAAAAUGUCAUUGAUGAAAGCAAAAGCAUAUUGGACUACUUACUAGUUUGCAGGUGAUGAUGCCCCCAAAAGAAUGAUGCUAGCCAAAAAAAUUCUUCAGUUGAAAAGGAGGGCAAAUCCGCCAUACUGCUGGUAGAGAAAGACAGGGUAAGACGAAAUUGAAUCAAAGACAUGUCCAAAUCUAUCUGUCAGAAAACAACAGUUGCAAAGUCCUGUUCAAAACAAAUAAUUACCAUAGGGUAUAUAUAAGAACAUCAUACUAGUAACCCAACCAAGUAAAUUGAACAACGGUUUAGCAACAAGCAUAAGAAAUGGAUGAGAAAAUGGAAAUUAAAAAGAAAUAUCCAACAAUGUCCUUAAAUUUUUUCCAUAAAAGAGAUUAAAACGGUAACAGGGACUUUGAAAAGAAAAAGAAAGUUAGGCAACACACAAUGCAAAUUGCUGGCAGACAGAGACGGCCUUACCUUUACAAACAAAUCCAAAGGUAAAAUGAGAAGAUACUUGGUUACUUACAGAGAAAGGAAAGGUGGGGAAGGGGGGGAUGUUGGCGGGGAGGUCAGAAAAGAGAGGAGAGGACUUUAUUAUUGAUGUUGGGUGUCUCUCCUAUGUUGCUCAGUUUUUAAUAAAUCAUCUCUAGUAAUAAGAAUGGAUGGUCCGCGGUCGUCCGCGUACUUUCUUCUUUUUUCUUUUUGUAAUACAAGGUGCUCUACAUGAGCAAAGAGCCAUGUACAGAAACAGUAAUAAGAGAUUGGAUGAUGAGUUCCUCGGG